rnacentral:rRNA from 1 species
UACGUAGGGGGCAAGCGUUAUCCGGAUUUACUGGGUGUAAAGGGGGCGCAGACGGCGAUGCAAGCCAGGAGUGAAAGCCCGGGGCCCAACCCCGGGACUGCUCUUGGAACUGCGUGGCUGGAGUGCAGGAGGGGCAGGCGGAAUUCCUGGUGUAGCGGUGAAAUGCGUAGAUAUAUGGAGGAACACCGGUGGCGAAGGCGGCUGCCUGGCCUGUAACUGACGUUGAGGCUCGAAAGCGUGGGGAGCAA